CGUAUGUAACCUACCUUUAUCAGGGGGAUAGCCUCUCGAAAGAGAGAUUAAGCCCGCAUAAUAUGAAGACACAGCAUUGUGAUUUCAUCAAAUAUUUAUAGGAUAAAGAUGGGCAUGCGGAACAUUAGCUAGUUGGUAAGGUAAUGGCUUACCAAGGCUACGAUGUUUAGGGGAUCUGAGAGGAUGACCCCCCACACUGGUACUGAGACACGGACCAG
rnacentral:rRNA from 1 species